rnacentral:lncRNA from 1 species
CGAUAUUUUUAUAAUGUGUUUAUAUUAAAAAAAAUAGACAAAUUACAGAAAACUUUCUUAUAAAUACUUUUUUUUAUUUAUCCUUAAUAAAUUUUAAAAACCUAUAUUUUUACCUAUUUAAUAUUUCAAAUUGUUGUAUUUAGCCCCCUCCGUCAAGGUUCCAUCACAAUUUCUUAUAUUUCUUAUAAUUAUACUGAAAAUGCCUUCAAAAUGACAAGAAUAUAUUAAAAAAAUAUUUUCUUAA